rnacentral:rRNA from 1 species
UACGUAGGUGACAAGCGUUGUCCGGAUUUACUGGGCGUAAAGAGCGCGCAGGCGGUCGAUCAAGUCGAGUGUGAAAGCCCCCGGCUCAACUGGGGAGGGUCAUUCGAUACUGAUCGACUCGAAGGCAGGAGAGGGUAGUGGAAUUCCCGGUGUAGUAGUGAAAUGCGUAGAUAUCGGGAGGAACACCAGUGGCGAAGGCGACUACCUGGCCUGUUCUUGACGCUGAGGCGCGAAAGCUAGGGGAGCAAACGGG